UACGUAGGGUGCAAGCGUUGUCCGGAAUUAUUGGGCGUAAAGAGCUCGUAGGCGGUUUGCCGCGUCGAAUGUGAAAACCCGGGGCUCAACUCCGGGCCUGCAUUCGAUACGGGCAGACUAGAGUUCGGUAGGGGAGACUGGAAUUCCUGGUGUAGCGGUGAAAUGCGCAGAUAUCUGGAGGAACACCGGUGGCGAAGGCGGCAUCCUGGACCGAUACUGACGCUGAGGAGCGAAAGCCAGGGGAGCAAACGGG
rnacentral:rRNA from 1 species